rnacentral:rRNA from 1 species
CCCGCUGAACUUAAGCAUAUCAAUAAGCGGAGGAAAAGAAACUAACAAGGAUUCCCUUAGUAACUGCGAGUGAAGUGGGAAAAGCUCAAAUUUAAAAUCUGGCAGUCUGAAUUUACUUCUUUGGCUGUCCGAGUUGUAAUCUAGAGAAGUGCUACCUGUACUGGACCAUGUACAAGUCUCCUGGGAUGGAGCAUCACAGAGGGUGAGAAUCCCGUCUAUGACAUGGACUACCAGUGUGUUGUGGAGUACUUUCAAAGAGUCGAGUUGUUUGGGAAUGCAGCUCUAAAUGGGUGGUAAACUCCAUCUAAAGCUAAAUAUUGGCGAGAGACCGAUAGUGAACAAGUACCGUGAGGGAAAGAUGAAAAGGACUUUGGAAAGAGAGUUAAACAGUACGUGAAAUUGUUGAAAGGGAAACACUUGAUGUCAGUUGUGUUAGCUGGGGAUCAGCCUAGCUUUUUUGCUUGGUGAAUUUCCUGGUUUAACAGGCCAACAUCAGUUUUGACUGCUGGAGAAAGGCAGACGGAAUGUGGCACCUUUGGGUGUGUUAUAGCUUUCUGUCAGAUGUAGCAGUUGGGACUGAGGUAUGCAGUGCGCCGUAAGGCAGGGUUUCGACCACACUCGCACUUAGGAUGUUGGUUUAAUGGCAUCAAUUGACCCGUCUUGAAACACGG